GGCAGUGUGGCAUAGUGGUUCGAGUGUGGGACUGUGACUCUGGAGAGCAGGGUUUGAAUCCCUGCUCGGCCU